rnacentral:rRNA from 1 species
CCUACGGGAGGCAGCAGUGGGGAAUAUUGCACAAUGGGCGAAAGCCUGAUGCAGCAACGCCGCGUGAGGGACGACGGCCUUCGGGUUGUAAACCUCUUUUAGUAGGGAAGAAGCGAAAGUGACGGUACCUGCAGAAAAAGCACCGGCUAACUACGUGCCAGCAGCCGCGGUAAUACGUGGGGUGCAAGCGUUAUCCGGAAUUAUUGGGCGUAAAGAGCUCGUAGGCGGUUUGUCGCGUCUGCUGUGAAAACUGGGGGCUCAACCCCCAGCCUGCAGUGGGUACGGGCAGACUAGAGUGCGGUAGGGGAGAUUGGAAUUCCUGGUGUAGCGGUGGAAUGCGCAGAUAUCAGGAGGAACACCGAUGGCGAAGGCAGAUCUCUGGGCCGUAACUGACGCUGAGGAGCGAAAGCAUGGGGAGCGAACAGGAUUAGAUACCCUGGUAGUCCAUGCCGUAAACGUUGGGAACUAGAUGUAGGGACCAUUCCACGGUUUCUGUGUCGCAGCUAACGCAUUAAGUUCCCCGCCUGGGGAGUACGGCCGCAAGGCUAAAACUCAAAUGAAUUGACGG